rnacentral:rRNA from 1 species
UACGAAGGGGGCUAGCGUUGUUCGGAUUUACUGGGCGUAAAGCGCACGUAGGCGGAUCGUUAAGUCGGGGGUGAAAUCCUGGAGCUCAACUCCAGAACUGCCUUUGAUACUGGCGAUCUUGAGUCCGGAAGAGGUGAGUGGAACUCCGAGUGUAGAGGUGAAAUUCGUAGAUAUUCGGAAGAACACCAGUGGCGAAGGCGGCUCACUGGUCCGGUACUGACGCUGAGGUGCGAAAGCGUGGGGAGCAAACAGG